rnacentral:rRNA from 1 species
GACGAACGCUGGCGGCGUGCUUAACACAUGCAAGUCGAACGGAAAGGCCCUGCUUUUGUGGGGUGCUCGAGUGGCGAACGGGUGAGUAACACGUGAGUAACCUGCCCUUGACUUUGGGAUAACUUCAGGAAACUGGGGCUAAUACCGGAUAGGAGCUCUUGCUGCAUGGUGGGGGUUGGAAUGUUUCGGCGGUUGGGGAUGGACUCGCGGCUUAUCAGCUUGUUGGUGGGGUAGUGGCUUACCAAGGCUUUGACGGGUAGCCGGCCUGAGAGGGUGACCGGCCACAUUGGGACUGAGAUACGGCCCAGACUCCUACGGGAGGCAGCAGUGGGGAAUAUUGCACAAUGGGCGGAAGCCUGAUGCAGCAACGCCGCGUGCGGGAUGACGGCCUUCGGGUUGUAAACCGCUUUCGCCUGUGACGAAGCGUGAGUGACGGUAAUGGGUAAAGAAGCACCGGCUAACUACGUG